GACGAAGGAUGCGAGCGUUAUCCGGAUUCACUGGGUUUAAAGGGUGCGUAGGCGGAAUGUCAAGUCUCAUGUAAAAUACCGGUGCUUAACAUCGGAUAUGCGUGAGAAACUGAUAUUCUUGAGAUAGUACGGCGUUGCUGGAAUAUGGCAAGUAGAGGUGAAAUUCAUAGAUAUGCCAUAGAACACCGAAAGCGAAGGCAGGCGACGAGUACUUAUCUGACGCUGAGGCACGAAAGCGUGGGGAGCAAACAGG
rnacentral:rRNA from 1 species